rnacentral:rRNA from 1 species
UGUUGCUUGCAAGGGCGUAUGGUGGAUGCCUUGGCAGACAGGACCGAUGAAGGACGUUUGAGGCUGCGAUAUGCCUCGGGGAGCCGCCAACAGGGCUUUGAUCCGAGGAUUUCCGAAUGGGGGAACCCACCGACCGUCAUGGGUCGGUACCGGCUUCGGCCGGGGGGUACGCAGGGAAGUGAAACAUCUCAGUACCUGCAGGAAAGGAUAUUCCGUGAGUAGUGGCGAGCGAAAGCGGAUGAUGGCCAAACCUUGCGCGUGUGAUACCCGUCGGGGGUUGCGCGCGGGGUGUUGCGGGAUCGCGUGCGCCGGCUCCGACGGGCCGGCCGGCAGUUGCAGAAAACCAUGUGUCAGGGGAACCGGGUUGAAUACCGGGCCGCAGAGGGUGAGGGCCCCGUACCUGAACGCGCAUGGUCUGCCGAUCGCGUCUCCCAAGUAGCACGGGUCCCGUGGAACCCCGUGCGAAUCCGCCCAGACCGUUGGGUAAGCCUGAAUAUUCCUGUCUGACCGAUAGCGAACGAGUACCGUGAGGGAAAGGUGAAAAGUACCCCGGGAGGGGAGUGAAACAGUCUCUGAAACCGUGCGCCUACAAUCCGUCGGAGCCCUUUUGUGGGGUGACGGCGUGCCUAUCGAAAAAUGAGUCUGCGAGUCAGUGGCAUGUGGCGAGCAUAACCCGUGUGGGGUAUGCGUAGCGAAGGCGAGUCUUAAAAGGCGUUUGAGUCGCGUGUCCUGGACCCGAAGCGGGAUGAUCUAGCCCUGAGCAGGUUGAAGCGCGGGUAAGACCGCGUGGAGGACCGAACCCACCUGGGUUGAAAACCGGGGGGAUGACUUGGGGCUAGGGGUGAAAGGCCAAUCAAAUUCCGUGAUAGCUGGUUCUCUCCGAAAUGCAUUUGGGUGCAGCGUCGGGUCAUUACGUCCCGGGGGUAGAGCUACUGGAUGCUUGCGGGCCCGUAUCGGGUACCAACAGCAACCAAACUCCGAAUACCGGUGACGCGUAUCCCGGCAGUGAGUCGGCGGGGGAUAAGCUUCGUCGUCGAAAGGGAAACAGCCCAGACCGUCGUCUAAGGUCCCGAAGCGUGUGCUAAGUGGGAAAGGAUGUGGAGUCGCAUAGACAGCCAGGAGGUUGGCUCAGAAGCAGCCACCCUUGAAAGAGUGCGUAACAGCUCACUGGUCUAGUGGUUCCGCGCCGACAAUGUAGCGGGGCUCAAGCACACCACCGAAGACGCGGCAGUAUUUUGUACUGGGUAGGAGAGCGUCCCAUGAGGGGCGAAGCGGCCGUGUGAACGCGCCGUGGACUUCAUGGGAGUGAGAAUGCAGACAUGAGUAGCGAGAGACGGGUGAAGAUCCCGUCCGCUGGAUGACCAAGGGUUCCAGGGCCACGUUCAUCGUCCCUGGGUGAGUCGGGUCCUAAGGCGAGGCCGACAGGCGUAGUCGAAUGGAUGAACGGGUCGAUAUUCCCGUACCGGCUUUCAGCCGCCAAAACCGAGGCUUGGAGUACUAACCUCCGGGUCCGGGCUUACUGCUCCUUCGGGGGCGGGAUGCCCUGGCCUGUUGGGACCGAUCCUUGUAGUAGGUCAGCGCAGGAGUGACGCAGAAGGGUAGCCGGCCGCGGAGGUGGUCUUCCGUGGUCAAGCACGCAGGGCGUGGGACAGGCAAAUCCGUCCCGCAUGGGUCCGAGGUGCGAUGAUGGGGGCCUUAUGGCCCGAUAUCCGGUGAUCCCGGCUGCCGAGAAAAGCUUCGGCGUCAGGCUCGAAGCCGCCCGUACCCCAAACCGACACUGGUGGUCAGGUAGAGAAUACCAAAGCGAUCGAGCGAAUCCUGGUCAAGGAACUCGGCAAAUCACUCCCGUUCCUUCGGUUUAAGGGAGACCCCCGAUGGUGAACCGCCUCGCGCGGGGAGCUUUUGGGGGUGGCACAGACCAGGGGGUAGCGACUGUUUACCAAAAACACAGGUGCAUGCGAAGGCGCAAGCCGCUGUAUAUGCACUGACGCCUGCCCGGUGCCGGAAGGUUAAGAGGAUCCGUCAGCCUUCGGGUGAAGCGGUGAAUUCAAGCCCCGGUAAACGGCGGUGGUAACUAUAACCAUCCUAAGGUAGCGAAAUUCCUUGUCGGGUAAGUUCCGACCUGCA